CCUACGGGAGGCAGCAGUGGGGAAUAUUGGACAAUGGACCAAAAGUCUGAUCCAGCAAUUCUGUGUGCACGAUGAAGGUCUUCGGAUUGUAAAGUGCUUUCAGCAGGGAAGAAGCAAGUGACGGUACCUGCAGAAGAAGCGACGGCUAAAUACGUGCCAGCAGCCGCGGU
rnacentral:rRNA from 1 species